UUAAGCGACUAAGCGUACACGGUGGAUGCCCUGGCAGUCAGAGGCGAUGAAGGACGUGCUAAUCUGCGAUAAGCGUCGGUAAGGUGAUAUGAACCGUUAUAACCGGCGAUUUCCGAAUGGGGAAACCCAGUGUGUUUCGACACACUAUCAUUAACUGAAUCCAUAGGUUAAUGAGGCGAACCGGGGGAACUGAAACAUCUAAGUACCCCGAGGAAAAGAAAUCAACCGAGAUUCCCCCAGUAGCGGCGAGCGAACGGGGAGCAGCCCAGAGCCUGAAUCAGUGUGUGUGUUAGUGGAAGCGUCUGGAAAGGCGCGCGAUACAGGGUGACAGCCCCGUACACAAAAAUGCACAUGCUGUGAGCUCGAUGAGUAGGGCGGGACACGUGGUAUCCUGUCUGAAUAUGGGGGGACCAUCCUCCAAGGCUAAAUACUCCUGACUGACCGAUAGUGAACCAGUACCGUGAGGGAAAGGCGAAAAGAACCCCGGCGAGGGGAGUGAAAAAGAACCUGAAACCGUGUACGUACAAGCAGUGGGAGCACAGAGCAAUCUGUGUGACUGCGUACCUUUUGUAUAAUGGGUCAGCGGCUUAUAUUCUGUAGCAAGGUUAACCGAAUAGGGGAGCCGAAGGGAAACCGAGUCUUAACUGGGCGUUAAGUUGCAGGGUAUAGACCCGAAACCCGGUGAUCUAGCCAUGGGCAGGUUGAAGGUUGGGUAACACUAACUGGAGGACCGAACCGACUAAUGUUGAAAAAUUAGCGGAUGACUUGUGGCUGGGGGUGAAAGGCCAAUCAAACCGGGAGAUAGCUGGUUCUCCCCGAAAGCUAUUUAGGUAGCGCCUCGUGAAUUCAUCUCCGGGGGUAGAGCACUGUUUCGGCAAGGGGGUCAUCCCGACUUACCAACCCGAUGCAAACUGCGAAUACCGGAGAAUGUUAUCACGGGAGACACACGGCGGGUGCUAACGUCCGUCGUGAAGAGGGAAACAACCCAGACCGCCAGCUAAGGUCCCAAAGUCAUGGUUAAGUGGGAAACGAUGUGGGAAGGCCCAGACAGCCAGGAUGUUGGCUUAGAAGCAGCCAUCAUUUAAAGAAAGCGUAAUAGCUCACUGGUCGAGUCGGCCUGCGCGGAAGAUGUAACGGGGCUAAACCAUGCACCGAAGCUGCGGCAGCGACGCUUAUGCGUUGUUGGGUAGGGGAGCGUUCUGUAAGCCUGCGAAGGUGUGCUGUGAGGCAUGCUGGAGGUAUCAGAAGUGCGAAUGCUGACAUAAGUAACGAUAAAGCGGGUGAAAAGCCCGCUCGCCGGAAGACCAAGGGUUCCUGUCCAACGUUAAUCGGGGCAGGGUGAGUCGACCCCUAAGGCGAGGCCGAAAGGCGUAGUCGAUGGGAAACAGGUUAAUAUUCCUGUACUUGGUGUUACUGCGAAGGGGGGACGGAGAAGGCUAUGUUGGCCGGGCGACGGUUGUCCCGGUUUAAGCGUGUAGGCUGGUUUUCCAGGCAAAUCCGGAAAAUCAAGGCUGAGGCGUGAUGACGAGGCACUACGGUGCUGAAGCAACAAAUGCCCUGCUUCCAGGAAAAGCCUCUAAGCAUCAGGUAACAUCAAAUCGUACCCCAAACCGACACAGGUGGUCAGGUAGAGAAUACCAAGGCGCUUGAGAGAACUCGGGUGAAGGAACUAGGCAAAAUGGUGCCGUAACUUCGGGAGAAGGCACGCUGAUAUGUAGGUGAAGUCCCUCGCGGAUGGAGCUGAAAUCAGUCGAAGAUACCAGCUGGCUGCAACUGUUUAUUAAAAACACAGCACUGUGCAAACACGAAAGUGGACGUAUACGGUGUGACGCCUGCCCGGUGCCGGAAGGUUAAUUGAUGGGGUUAGCGCAAGCGAAGCUCUUGAUCGAAGCCCCGGUAAACGGCGGCCGUAACUAUAACGGUCCUAAGGUAGCGAAAUUCCUUGUCGGGUAAGUUCCGACCUGCACGAAUGGCGUAAUGAUGGCCAGGCUGUCUCCACCCGAGACUCAGUGAAAUUGAACUCGCUGUGAAGAUGCAGUGUACCCGCGGCAAGACGGAAAGACCCCGUGAACCUUUACUAUAGCUUGACACUGAACAUUGAGCCUUGAUGUGUAGGAUAGGUGGGAGGCUUUGAAGUGUGGACGCCAGUCUGCAUGGAGCCGACCUUGAAAUACCACCCUUUAAUGUUUGAUGUUCUAACGUGGACCCGUAAUCCGGGUUGCGGACAGUGUCUGGUGGGUAGUUUGACUGGGGCGGUCUCCUCCUAAAGAGUAACGGAGGAGCACGAAGGUUGGCUAAUCCUGGUCGGACAUCAGGAGGUUAGUGCAAUGGCAUAAGCCAGCUUGACUGCGAGCGUGACGGCGCGAGCAGGUGCGAAAGCAGGUCAUAGUGAUCCGGUGGUUCUGAAUGGAAGGGCCAUCGCUCAACGGAUAAAAGGUACUCCGGGGAUAACAGGCUGAUACCGCCCAAGAGUUCAUAUCGACGGCGGUGUUUGGCACCUCGAUGUCGGCUCAUCACAUCCUGGGGCUGAAGUAGGUCCCAAGGGUAUGGCUGUUCGCCAUUUAAAGUGGUACGCGAGCUGGGUUUAGAACGUCGUGAGACAGUUCGGUCCCUAUCUGCCGUGGGCGCUGGAGAAUGAGGGGGGCUGCUCCUAGUACGAGAGGACCGGAGUGGACGCAUCACUGGUGUUCGGGUUGUCAUGCCAAUGGCACUGCCCGGUAGCUAAAUGCGGAAGAGAUAAGUGCUGAAAGCAUCUAAGCACGAAACUUGCCCCGAGAUGAGUUCUCCCUGACUCCUUGAGAGUCCUGAAGGAACGUUGAAGACGACGACGUUGAUAGGCCGGGUGUGUAAGCGCAGCGAUGCGUUGAGCUAACCGGUACUAAUGAACCGUGAGGCUUAACCUU
rnacentral:rRNA from 1 species